UUUUAUUGUCAUUAUAUUAUUUCAACCGAUUCGAAUACUUUUCAUUAUUCGUAGUCACAGACGACUAAAGUGUUAUUCGUCAUAGUUAUUAAUACUUUAUUCUUCGACAUUUACUUAGAAAAUUGUGAUAACUAACGUCUAUUUUUCUAUAUAUAUUUUCUAGAUAUUCACGUUCCAUUUUAUACAGAACGAGCUAAUAGUUGCCAGACCUUCAGGCUGUUUGUUGUACUUCGGUUGUCAUUGUGCAGAUAAAAGGAUCCCAGGACUUUUUGACAUGGAACGGAGCGAAGCUGCGUUGAUUCUGAUGUUGACAUCACUUUCGAGACAAUUUUGACAAACUACAAACUUUGUACUCGGUUAUUCUUGACGUUCGCAAUGUGUCCUUGACUCUGACCGAUAUUGUGUACCUAUCUUAGUUUGUCUCAAAUUUUAAGUGUAAGUAAAUAAGUAAGUGUACUGAAAAUAGCCGUUACCUAAUCAACGAAUAUCAUCUUGGUCAUCCGCAUAGAUUAUACUGUAUACACUUAAUAUCGUCCGAGACGACGUAAAGGGUAAAUUUUUUUUAUUGUAUCGAUGGAGCUACAAUGUUCGCGUUUGAUGCAUCGUUUAGUGUGAUUAUGACGCACAAGUCCUGGUUUGCAAUAGCAGCCCAGAGAACAUCGUCUGGGUCGCAUCGUACAAGGACGACUGUCGCAGCUUGGCUCGCAUCCGUACCGACAGACAUACUCCUCGUUUGGAUCUAGACAAUUUUCUGUAAUAACAAAUUAAGUCUAAUUUUAGAAAUUAUUAAUAUAACAAAAUUUUCAACGACA